GGGAGGUGGACUGCUGGCCGGUGACGUGCGCGGCCCUGGGGAGUGCGACCUGAGCGCCGUCCCGAGGGGGAGUGCUGCCCCCGCUGCGUCGCCGACCCCUGCCGCGCCGACCCCGGUCGCCCCGACAACGACCUGGGGGGCACCUGCACGGACGAGAGCGGCCUGACGCGCCUCGGCGGAGCCACCUGGACCAAGCACGGAGCGGAGUGCACGCUCUGCCAGUGCAAGAACGGCCACGUCUGUUGCUCCAAGGACCCUCUGUGCCGCUAGCCGCGCCCAACGCCGGGGCCACGCCCACUGAACGGCAUGCCCCUCUGGCCACGCCCCUCUGGCCACGCCCCGCCCGCCAGCUCUGUAUAAACCGCUCCCCCCGCGCCCUCUUUUGUGAAGCCCUACGUCAAACUCGCCCUGCUCAGAUCACUUCGGUGCACCUCCCCGUCCGUCCCUCACUCCGUCUCCUGUCCGUCUGUCUCUCCGUCUGUCCCUCCGUCAAUCUGUCCCUCCCUCAUUCCAUCCAUCCAGCUCUCCCACGAUGUUUUUCCAUCGGUCCGUCCGUUCCGACCGACCUCAUCGUUUUUCUGUCCAUCCAUUCCGACUUGCGUUGGUCUGCAUACACCAUGGUACACCACCCGUGCGUUCACCCAUCCGUCUAGUCAUUCAUCUAUCAUUCCUUCCACCACCUCCUCGAUGUUCAGCAGGUCAGGAACGCCGGGUCACAACCGAUCCGAACGCUACGGAUAAAUAGCUCCACCGGAUAAACGAACGAUAAGCAAAGGACUCUGACCAGUCCAGUCCACGGAUUCACCCCGGUCCGUUUGUAUGUUUAUAGCUUCAGUAAACAACUCGGAAAGUGGCUUGCGCUGUUCCAUGUCAUUUGAUAUUUUCUCCGACCAAUCAGUGUUGUUUCCCCCCCCCCCCCCCCUCCCUCCCUGCCUGGCCUUGGUUUUUGUGAAACAACGAGUUCCGUCCGCACUGCGCUCGCAUUGUGAGCGUCGGACGUUUUCCGAUGUGUCGGGUUCGUUCCCCGCGGUGUCCCUUGUCCGAGGGGUUAUGGGGUCUUGGGGGGGGGGGCCGUUUCAAACCGAUAACCGUUUCCUUUCUCUGAGACUUUGAAUAGAACUGUGCUUUUGUACCGUAGCUUUAUCCUGUUCCGUCCUGGUUGGAAGUAUUUAGUGGCUUGAUAUUGUGUACUGAGAAAUUUAAACUUUCCAUUAAAGUGACUGAAAAGAGAA